AGGAUUAUAGUUAAUCAUAACACCUGGGUUGCAUUCAGGGAGUGCUUCUUCGUUGAGAAGCUUUUCUUA
rnacentral:tRNA from 1 species